CGACCCUCAAGCUUCGGCUUGCCGUUGGGGCGCAUCGGUACAGCACCGAUGGCCCCGAAUCUCAGUGGCGGAGCCGCCGUGGACUCUGAGCGCAGUACUGAACACGCUCCGAGCUCCGGCGGUGCCGGCCGUGAAACGACCAAAAUUACAAG
rnacentral:misc_RNA from 1 species